rnacentral:rRNA from 1 species
AUUGAACGCUGGCGGCAUGCCUUACACAUGCAAGUCGAACGGCAGCACGGGUGCUUGCACCUGGUGGCGAGUGGCGAACGGGUGAGUAAUACAUCGGAACGUACCUUAUCGUGGGGGAUAACGCAGCGAAAGCUGUGCUAAUACCGCAUACGCCCUGAGGGGGAAAGCGGGGGAUCGCAAGACCUCGCGCGAUUAGAGCGGCCGAUGCCUGAUUAGCUUGUUGGUGGGGUAAAAGCCCACCAAGGCGACGAUCAGUAGCUGGUCUGAGAGGACGAUCAGCCACACUGGGACUGGGACACGGCCCAGACUCCUACGGGAGGAAGCAGUGGGGAAUUUUGGACAAUGGGGGCAACCCUGAUCCAGCAAUGCCGCGUGAGUGAAGAAGGCCUUCGGGAUGUAAAGCUCUUUUGUCAGGGAAGAAACACCGGCUCUAACACAGUCCGGGAAUGACGGUACCUGAAGAAUAAGCACCGGCUAACUACGUGCCAGCAGCCGCGGUAA